CGAAUUCUGAACACCCCUACGGCUAUAUCCGCCUCUCCUCCGCCGCGUGUGUGGCUGCAUGACGGAAUAACGAAUCUGCAACUUCAAGCUCGGAUUUCGGUCGGAGUUGUUACCGAGAAAGCGAAGGUUGAGUUUCUAGACGCAACGGCUAGGGUUGAAGAGAGUUUAAAUAAUCGGAGACGGUGGAGGUGUUGGUUAUGCCGCCUCCGGUGAUGGUGACGGUGGUGAUUAUGAGAGGAGAUUUGAGUCUGCUGAAGUUGUUGUGUCCACUAGAGAAGGUGACACCUAAAAGUUCACCCAAAUAUGUAACCAGCUGAUCUCCCAAUCUAUCAAGUC
rnacentral:lncRNA from 1 species